GGGCGUAUAGCUCAGUGGUAGAGCGCCUGUUUUGCAUACAGGAGGACUAGGGUUCAAUCCCCUAUACGUCCA
rnacentral:tRNA from 1 species